CAGUUGGGAGUAUUGAAGGACUAGUGGUCUCUUGCCCUCUCGCGAGAUCGCUUGUGUCGGAUCCUUUGGAUAACGGAGAGCGCCAUAGCUAGGGAGCCGGAGCCGAGUCAGUCUUUGUCCGCGCGCGUUGUCUUCAAGUGGGAUUACAGCACAGUGCUUAGGGUUGCUGAGGACUUCAACCCCAAUAACUGUAAUGAGACUGCCUCCUUAGUGGCUUUGAUGAAGCAAGCAGUGAUGUUGACUCACAUGACGAGGGACUGUGGGUGGCCUUGAGCCAACAGCCAGCAAGAACCUAAACCCUGUCUACAACCCCCAGUGCCUGACUUAAGCUUUGAUUGCCGACGCAUCCACUUCAAAGAGGCAUCCACUUUAAAGAGGGCUAUCUCAAGUAAACACCCUGCCAGCCACCCGACUAGAUGAAGAGCUUCCCUUCACUGAGGCUCCUUUGUUUUAGAGAUCUUGCUUGGUUUCAAUAACUGACCAUUUGAGCUGCUUGUUUUCUCUCUUGCUGUGCUUUAAAUUCCUGCUCUUAUGUUUUAAAUUCACCAAUAAAGAGGGAGCCUAUGAAACCCAAGACCCCACCAUCGACCCCAAUAAAAGCAGAACCUCA